rnacentral:rRNA from 1 species
AUACGGAGGGUGCAAGCGUUAUCCGGAAUCACUGGGUUUAAAGGGUGCGUAGGCGGUACUAUAAGUCAGAGGUGAAAGCUUACAGCUUAACUGUGAAACUGCCUUUGAAACUGUAAUACUUGAAUCACGUUGAGGUCAGCGGAAUGUGGCAUGUAGCGGUGAAAUGCAUAGAUAUGCCAUAGAACACCAAUUGCGAAGGCAGCUGGCUAGGCGUGUAUUGACGCUGAGGCACGAAAGCGUGGGUAGCGAACAGGAUUAGAAACCCUAGUAGUCC